GAUGAACGCUGGCGGCGUGCCUAAUACAUGCAAGUCGAGCGAACAGACGCGGAGCUUGCUCCUUCGACGUUAGCGGCGGACGGGUGAGUAACAUGUCCUUCACCUACCUAUAAGACAGGGCUAACUUCGGGAAACCGGAGCUAGUACUGGAUAAUAUUUCGAACCGCAGGGUUCGAUAGUGAAAGCUGGCUUUGCUGUCACUUCUAGAUGUCCCUGCGCCGUAUUAGCUAGUUGGUAAGGUAACGGCUUCCCAAGGCAGCGAUACGUAGCCGACCUGAGAGGGUGAAGCGCCACAGUGGGAGUGAGACACGGCACAGACACCUACGGGCGGCAGAGGUAGCGAAGGUAGGGAAAUGGGGGGAAGCCUGACGGAUGAGCGCCAGGUUGGUGAAGAAGGGCUUCGGGUGGUAUAACGGUGUUAGUAGGGAAGAACAAUCGUGUAAGGGACGGUGCAUGUCGUGACGGUACCUGAACAGAAAGCCACGGCUAACUACGUG
rnacentral:rRNA from 1 species